rnacentral:misc_RNA from 1 species
GAAGUGCGAUAAGUAGUGUGAAUUGCAGAAUUCAGUGAAUCAUCGAAUCUUUGAACGCACAUUGCGCCCCUCGGCAUUCCGUGGGGCAUGCCUGUUCGAGCGUCAUCUACACCCUCAAGCUCUGCUUGGUGUUGGGCGUCUGUCCCGCCUCCGCGCGCGGACUCGCCCCAAAUGCAUUGGCAGCGGUUCCUUGCCCCCCUCUUUGCGCAGCACAUUGCCAUUCGAGGCGGCGGCGGCCCGCGUCCAACAAGCUCAACCCCCCCGUCUUUGACCUCGGAUCAGGUAGGGAUACCCGCUGAACUUAAGC